rnacentral:rRNA from 1 species
AACGAACGCUGGCGGCAUGCCUAACACAUGCAAGUCGAACGAGACCUUCGGGUCUAGUGGCGCACGGGUGCGUAACGCGUGGGAACCUGCCCUUAGGUUCGGAAUAACUCCCCGAAAGGGGUGCUAAUACCGGAUAAUGUCUUCGGACCAAAGAUUUAUCGCCUUUGGAUGGGCCCGCGUUGGAUUAGCUAGUUGGUAGGGUAAAAGCCUACCAAGGCGACGAUCCAUAGCUGGGCUGAGAGGAUGAUCAGCCACACUGGGACUGAGACACGGCCCAGACUCCUACGGGAGGCAGCAGUGGGGAAUAUUGGAAAAUGGGCGAAAGCCUGAUCCAGCAAUGCCGCGUGAGUGAUGAAGGCCUUAGGGUUGUAAAGCUCUUUUACCCGGGAUGAUAAUGACAGUACCGGGAGAAUAAGCUCCGGCUAACUCCGUG